rnacentral:lncRNA from 1 species
UCUCUCUUCCAUAAAUAAAAACUUUACUCAAAUAUCUUUCUUUCUUUUUAUUUUUGGUAAAUAGAGAGAGAUUUUAUACAUACUAAACAGUUACUACUUACUAUAUUCACUUGCAUAACGUUAAUGAUUUCGAACUUAAUUAGAUUAUUACAAAUCAAAGAGGAGAUUAUGUUUAGACUAUAAUUUCCUUCUUUAGCUGCUGCCUGCUAGUAGACUUGAGAGAAACCUUGUUGGAGGAUUCUUCAUGAAGACGUUUUAUUGUUAAUUACGGUUAUUUCCUUUAUGAAAAGGGAGUAAUUUUUUUUGUAAUUAUUGCAGAAAAAAUAGUAAAAGAAAAGAAGAAAAACAUACAAAGGAUUGAGAUUUGAGGAAAAAGAAUUAAUUUAUUUUAUCAUGUCAAAUUAUUUUUUUAAUGAUAAAUUUGAUUGAGUGAUUUUAUAAAAGCAAAACUCAAAGUUGAGUGAUUUUUUUGAUACAAAACAAAGUUGAAUGACUUUACAAGAGGAUUCCUCAAAGUUGAAUGACCUUUUGAGAUAUUUACUCCUAA